UAGGGAAUCUUCCGCAAUGGACGCAAGUCUGACGGAGCAACGCCGCGUGAGUGAAGAAGGUUUUCGGAUCGUAAAACUCUGUUGUUAGAGAAGAACAAGUGCUAGAGUAACUGUUAGCGCCUUGACGGUAUCUAACCAGAAAGCCACGGCUAACUACGUGCCAGCAGCCGCGGUAAUACGUAGGUGGCAAGCGUUGUCCGGAUUUAUUGGGCGUAAAGCGAGCGCAGGCGGUUCCUUAAGUCUGAUGUGAAAGUCCCCGGCUCAACCGGGGAGGGUCAUUGGAAACUGGGGAACUUGAGUGCAGAAGAGGAGAGUGGAAUUCCAUGUGUAGCGGUGAAAUGCGUAGAUAUAUGGAGGAACACCAGUGGCGAAGGCGACUCUCCGGUCUGUAACUGACGCUGAGGCUCGAAAGCGUGGGUAGCAAACAGGAUUAGAUACCCUGGUAGUCCACGCCGUAAACGAUGAGUGCUAAGUGUUGGAGGGUUUCCGCCCUUCAGUGCUGCAGUUAACGCAUUAAGCACUCCGCCUGGGGAGUACGACCGCAAGGUUG
rnacentral:rRNA from 1 species